CAGUGACAAGGUGCAGCUUUCACUUACAUUUAAAAAGCAAACUCACCAUUUUACCUGUGAAGAUAAUGUAAUAAUAGUACAUAUGCAGUUGCAAUGUUACUUUUAAAAGUAUAUAACCUAUCAUGGUUCUGAUGUAUAUAUGCUUCCUCUCCCUCCCCCCCCCCAAAAAAAAAACUAACUUAAGUAGUAGGCUUAUAGUAUGUAUAAAAUGGAAAAAGUAAAUACGUUUUUGAGCUCAUUAGAAUUUUGUGUUUCUAAUAUAGCCUUCUUCAUUUCUGUUUCUGAAGACAGGUUAAUUGUGAUAAAUUUGUGGCUUAAAUAUGAUCUUACUAAAGGGAUAGGUUUCUGAAGAGUAGGUCAUAAACAUGACAAAUUGUUGAGCAUUGAAUUUUUCUUUGCAGUUUGUUCAUUCCUUGUUCAUGCAUUCAGAUAUUUAUCAAGUAUGAAUUAUAUGUCAGUGUCUGGUAGGCAGAAUAUUUACAUAGGAAAUAUGAGUAGAUUCUGUCAUUAAGGAACUCAAAGCUUCAUAGAUAGGUAAUUCAAAUACUGCACAGGGUCAGGCAUUGUGGCACAAUGGGCUAAACUCCUUCUCAUGACAGGGUGCUGGUUGUAGUCCUGUCUGCUCUGCUUUUCAUUCAGCUUCCUGGUGAUGCACCUGGGAAGGCAGUGUAAGAUGGCCCAAGGACCAGAUUUAGAUGUGAAGGAAUUACAAAAGCCAUAUAGGGGCUGGCACUGAAGCCUAGUGGGUAAAGCUGCCACCUGCAAUGCUGGCAUCCAUAUGGGCGCUAGUUGAGUCCUGACUGUUCCACUUCCGAUCCACUGGGAAAAUAGUAGAAGAUGGCCCAAGUGCUUGGGCCCCUACACCCACGUGGGUGACCUGGAGGAAGUUCCUGGCUCCUAGCUAGGGAUAGACCCAGCUCCAGCUGUUGUGGCCAUUUCGGGAGUGAACCAAUGAUGGAAGAGCUCUCUCUUUCUCUUCUCCCUGUAACUCUGCCUUUCAAAUAAAUAAAUAAAUCUAAAAAAAAAAAAAAAAAAGAAGAAGAAGAAGAAGCAAGCCAUGUGGGAGACCAGAGUGGCAUUCCUGGCUCCUGGCUUUGGCCUGGCCCAGUCCUGGCUGUUGCAACCACUUGGAAAGUAAACCAGCAGAUAGCAGAUCAGUUUCUCUCUUUCUGACUCUCUGCCUUUCAAGUAAAUAAAUCUUUAAAAAAAAAACUGGAUAAUAUGAUAAAUAUGGUAAUGGAUAAGCAGAAGGCGCUGAAAGAUCAUUGGGGAGGGUCACCUGAUUUCCCUUUGAAGGUUAUCUUGAAAGGGUCUGCAGAGGAAUGAGCACUGUAUGUUAAGGAAACUGCAAGGGGUUCAGUGUGAAAACAAAAGGCUAGAGCAUGAGGUAAGGCAGACCAGAUGUUGAAGAGGCUUGUCACCCGUGUUGAAGAGUGCUUUUCCCGAGAGCAAUAGGAAGCAGCAGCAAUUGAGUGAUGCUAAGAUGGGUUGCCAUAUGAUCAUAUUUGUGUUUUGGAAAGAUCACUUCAGAUUCACCUGUCUGAAUAUGGUCCUUGGGCCAUCUUCUGCCUUCCCAGGCACGUUCGCAGGAAGCUGAAUCACAAGUGGAGCAGAUGGGCCUCCAUCUGGUCCUUUGAUAUGGAUGCUGUUACCACGAGGGGCAGCUUAAGCUGCUGUACCACAGUGCUGGCCCCUAUAUAUAUAUACAGAUAUAGUCACAUAUCCGUCUCCCCUGUGAAGCUUUGAGUUUCUUAGUGACAGAAACUAUCUUACACAACCUUGUAUUUCCUAUGUAAAUAAUCUGCCUGCCAGAUAAUUGGUUGGUUCAGUGAAGGAGUACCAGAGGCACGAAGGCCCCUUUGGAAAGGCUUUGUAGCAAUACCGGUAAGAGAUAAUGUGACCACAGUGAUACAGGCAAACAAAAUAGAGAAUGGAGUCUAGUCAGGACAGCUCAGUGGUUAGGUGACUGUAGACAGUUUUAGAUGGUAUAGCCAUUGACUGAAGAAAGGAAUGUAGGAGGAGGACAAGUCUGGGAGAGAACACAAGAAUUAUAAGAGUAAAAUAUUCUCAUUUUUGCACAGAGAUUAGUUUAAUAACAACAAACAGGGAUUGUCUGCACCAGCCACUUUUGACAGAGAUUAGAUCUCAUGACCAUCAAUUUUUUGUCAAGCCUUUUUUUUUAAUUAAAGGGAUAUUACAGCCUGCCUGCCUCAUUGCAGAUCAGUUUAUUUGUCAAAUCCUUUUGAAAAGGUGUUGCCUAGUUCAGCUUAACUAACCACUUUGUAUGUCGCUCCCCCUCUUCAUGGAGGAACGACACUAAACCCUGCCUAGGCUUCAUAUCUGAGUCACGGCACCAUUAUGUCACUCCCCCUCUUCGUGGAGGAACGACACAGGACCCUGCGCUGUUCUUUUGUCUGCUCGGCCCUCUCCGGGUUUGCUGCUGGUUCUUCCCGGGUUGGCUGCCGUCCCUUCCACCUCCGUGGAAGGGCGGUUCCCCCUGCCACAUUCCCCACUUCCGCGGGGGAGCGGCACACUGCCGGCCGGCUCUCUGGGGGCUGCACAGGUGUUCCCCUUAGAUGUUCCCCUUAGAUGUUCCUGGUGCAUGCCGUCUCUCUCCUCCUUUAUAGUCCUCCUCCGCCAAUCCUAACUCGGCUGCCCACACGCCGAGUACGCUGCUCUCCUCCAAUCAGGAGCAAGUCCUACAGUUUAUUGGCUGAACUGGAGGCAGCUGUGUAGAAGCUGUUUUCUCCUCUCCCAGCGCCAUAUUGUGGGAGAGCAGAUGCAUAGAAUAAGUCUUAAUUCCAGUAACUUAGUCUAGUCCGAGUUGCUCCCCACAUUUGUACAAUGUUCUGUUCAUCUCUGCUGGUGUAAGACUGAUAGGUAGCAUUGAAUUAUUUGUUUAUGUAUCUCUUUCUGACAAAUGACUAUGAUUACCUUAAAGGCAAGGAUUGUAUUAUGUUCAGUUUUGUAUCCUCAGUGCCUAGCAUUUGACACAUGUACAGUAGAUGAUGACUUUAAUAUUGGUUGAAGUAUAAAACUAGAGCUUAAAGUUUAGUGGUCCAGUCAAAAGAAUUUUGCUAGUUUGUGGCAAACAGUUCAGCAGGAGAUCCUCUAUUUUUUUUUGUUUAAGAUUUAUUUUAUUUAUUUGAAAGACAGAGUUACAGAGAGAGGUAAAGACAGAGAGAGAGGUCUUCCAUCCGCUGGCUCACUCCUCAGAUGGCUGCAAUGGCCCGAGCUGCGCCGAUCCGAAGCCAGGAGCCAGGAGCUUCUUCCACGUCUCCCACAUGGGUGCAGGGGCCCAAGGACCUGGGCCAUCUUCUACUGCUUUCCCAGGCCACAGCAGAGAGCUGGAUCAGAAGAGGAGCAGCUGGGACUAGAACCGGCGCCCAUAUGGGAUGCCAGAGCUUCAGGCCAGGGCUUUAACCCACUGUGCCACAGCACCAGUCCCAGAUCCUCUAUUUUUUAAAAUUUUAUUUUUUUAAUGUAAAGUAUAUUGAUUUAAAAAACAAUAUAAACUACAAGUCUGUCUGUGUUUCUGGCCUUUCCUUGUUCUCUUGCUGAGAUCCUCUGAAGAAUCUCUUUUCUGCCUUAUAUUUUUGGUACACUAAAGGUAUAGUGUGUUAAAGGAAGUAUCUAGCUAGUUUACACAUAGCAAAAAGCUCAAGAAAUGACAGCCCUGAGGAUUCUACAAAUAAAACCUUACAGUACAGCAUGGAGUAUAUUUUGGGCCCAGUUGCCGUAUACAAGGGUACUUCAGAAAGUUCUUGAAAAAAUAGAAUUAAAAGAUCAGUUUAUUUUGGGAACAGUGCUGUGGCAAAGCAGGUAAAGCUGCUGACUGCAGUGCCAGCAUCCCAUAUGGAUGCCGGUUUGAGUCCUGGCUGCUCCACUCCUGAUCCAGCUUUCUGCUAUGGCCUGGGAAAACAGUAGAAGAUAGAUGGCCCAAGUGCCAGGGUCCCUGAGCUGCAUGGGAGACCCGGAAGAAGCUCCUGGUUCCUACUUCAGAUUGGCGCAGCUCUGGCCCUCGUGGCCAACUGGAGAGUGAACCAGCAGAUGGAAGACCUCCGCCUCUCCGUCUCUCUGUAACUCUGACUUUCAAAUAAGUAAAAUAAAUCUCUAAAAAAUGAAAUAAAAAGAUUAUUUUAUUGCAAAAGUAUUUUGAAAUGCGUGCAUAGUUUUUUCAUAGUAUGCAUUUUCCACUUACUUUUUGAGUAUCUUACUAGUAAACAUUGCUUUUGUAAUUAUUUCACUGAUCUAAAUGUGGUCCUUGAGACACCCUCAUUGGAAACCUGGCAACAACUUUCAUAUAACACUGGAGUGAAAACUCUUUUUAAUGACUAUUUGAGUGAAGUUUUUAAAAUCCUUCAGUUAAUUUUGUUUAAUGCAUUCUGCAUAUAAUAUUUGACUCAUGAAUAAUCUUUAAAAAAAAACAGAGAAAAUGAUCUAUGUGCCACCUAUAGUAUUACUUUGAUAUUUCCUGUAAGUUGUUUAAUCUAGUAUAUGUGGCACAGGUGCAGCAUGCAUGCUUUUUAUGUCUGGGUUGUAUGCCAUCUCCAGUGAAGGUCUUCUGUUCCUGUUUUAUCUACUCAGGUCUAAUACUUUCUGACAUUUUUCCUACCAUACCUCACUUAAGGCAUGGUCCCCUCUUCUUCUGAUUGCCUUAGAAAAAGCCAAUAGGCUUUAUUAACUCAGAAGGGCUAGUAGACAUUCUUAAUUUUCAAGGUACUCCUUGCCCUCUCUCCCUUCUCUUUUUGAUUUUUCUUUUCCACCUUCCCUCUUUUCUCUGAAGCCUCACUGAAAGGUGAUACAGGAUUCCAAGAUUCGUUUUUAAAAGGGAUUCUUAUCAAUGUAAAACUCUUAGUGUGUGCCAGAGUCAGUCCCAAAGGAAAAACCAAAUUUAAUCAUCUGUACUCCACUUCUGAAAAGUAAACCAGCUUGUGAUCUGUCAAAACCCCAAAAUAUUAGUAGGCACAAGAAGAUUUAAAGAUGAGCAGGUGUUUUAGCUGAAUAGCAGGAGGAUGGCACUGGAAUAUUUAAAAAACUUAAGCCUGUAUCAUUAUUAUAAUUUUUAGGCCCUUGCCCAGGUCUAUUUAAUAGUCUUUUUUAACCAACACACCAUUUUUAUUUGAUGUGUUAAAAAAAUGUUAACCUUGGUGUUCUUUAAAAGAAAAAGAAUUUUUACUUUACGUUUCACUUGCCCUUGAGUGCAUUCUUGUGUGAAGAACGUAUAAGAAAGGUAAAUCAGUUUCAUCUUUCUGAAAAAGUUUCCUAUAGUAAUUCAUAUUUUUGCAAUUUUGCCAUUUUAUAUAUACUAUGUUCAUGUCAGAAAUCACUUAUUUUCUUUUUUAUUGGUUCUAAAAUCUUGCAUAUAAAUCUGCUUGCAUGUAAAUCUGGGGCACAUGCAGUGAGAAUUAGAAUAGGUGAUUUUUAUUUAUUAGUGAAUGGCAGAGUAAUUCCAGCUGGCUGCCUUAAGCAGUGCCCUCAGAGUGUUGGAGGCCUGGGGUCUGGGUUUGAGGAGACAAUAACAAGUAAAUGUUGGAGUUCAUGUUCUCAGACCUCAGAGGAAAGCCUAAAGGCAGAGAUCUGGGGUCUUGUAUACUCAGAGUAGUUUGCUCUGUGUCCGCAAUUACUCUAGGAUGCCUACAUCUCACUAGGGAGCAUUCGAUUUUUCAGGAUUGUUAGAGAAAUUCAUAUUAUUUCUUGCCUAGAUCCUGGGGACAGAUUUCUGCAUGUUAGUUGUACUAAUGGUUCAGAGUAUUUGUUGUGUUUUCUCCCAGUCCCUCCUAGACUAAAAACAAAUAAGGUAGAGAUAGAGGAAAAGGAGAAUUCCUUUAGAUGAUCUGCAUUCCUUGAACUUGUGCCAAGUUAAAUUUAGUGGUCAGUUUAAUGAGUCUUUGAGAUUGAAGAAUUGAGUUUACUUCUCCCACUGGCCUACCUUAUGAGUUGGGUCCUUUACCAGAGAAGAAACUAUUUAGUACAGAUUCUUAGUCACUUCAUUGCUUUUUCAUUUUUUCAAAUGGCUGAUGAUGCUUUUGAUAGAGUCCGUAACUUGAACAGGACUUAACUGGUCGAGAAACUUAGUACUGACUGCAGGAGAGGCCAUUCGUCCCAAAUAGCUGUGAUGCCUCUGAAAGAAAAGCCUGACCCAUAAUACAACUUUGAUAAAACUGGAAGGGUCGAAUGAGAACCCUAGACUCAGUGCCUUCCCAGGCAAAGCAGAAAUGACUGUGAUAAGAGAAGGACGUCCAAUGGAACAGCAAUGGCGUGUUCUCCAUGUAGGUACUUUCACAUGCUUCUGUGAAAAUUACCAUUUGUGGAGUUCUUAACUGGAGUUUCCCCACUUUCAAAGGCUAUUGUAUCAUUCCAUAAAGUAAGAAGGCAGAAAGUAUGGGCCAGAGUGUCAUUGAAAACUGGUCAUUUUUGGUUGCCAUUAACUACAGCUUGAAAUAAGAUGGAUAUGAACAUAGAGCAAUCCUAAUCGUGACCUUAUCUGAUCUUGAAUAUUAUAACUGUUUAAUAUCAGUCUUUCUCUUCAGUAACGAUUAAGAAAUACUGUACUUGAGGCCGGCGCCGUGACUCACUUGGUUAAUCCUCUGUCUGCAGCGCCGGCAUCCCAUAUGGGCCUCAGGUUCUAGUCCUGGUUGCUCCUCUUCCAGUCCAGCUCUCUGCUGUGGCCUGGGAGUGCAGUGGAGGAUGGCCCAAGUGCUUGGGCCCUUGCACCCGCAUGGGAGACCAGGAGGAAGCACCUGGCUCCUGGCUUCGGAUCGGCGCAGUGCGCUGGCUGUGGCAGCCAUUUGGAGGGUGAACCAACAGAAGGAAGAUCUUUAUCUCUCUCACUGUCUAAUAAAAAAAAUACUGUACUUGGCAUUGUGAUAUAUACAAUAUGAUAACUGACCCUAUCCUAAACGUACUAAGAUUGUUAUAAUUUGGUAUUUAUAGGUUUCAUCUUUGAAUGUUAUAAUCUAGUUAAGUGACUCAUAAAUGUCCAGGGAGAUGCACUAAUGGUGUUCUUCAAAUUAAAGGCUGAAACAUGCAUGGGUUAUGCCAUCAUUUUCGUUAAGUCACUUUGUAAAAGAAAGAUGAUAAAAUAGAAAACACCAAAGUACAUUGCAUCAAGUAAACUUAAAUAUAGAACCGUGAAACUUGUUAUACUCUAUAAUGAUAUAAAAUUCUAUGGGUUAUAGUCAAACUACUACUCUGCAUAGCCAAAGAAAUGUUUGCUGAGCUGUGAAGGAGAGAGAGAAUUUGAAUAUAAGAAAAUAAUAAGGAACAGAGUUGAUGUGGGUAGAACUGUGGAAGCGGGAAAAUGGCAUCAUAAACUGUUCAGAAAAAAGUGAGUAGACCAGAUUGAGUGGAAUAGCUGCGUCUUAGCUAGAGAAUGGAAAAGUGGUUUGGGAUUAGUCGUAUAUUACUGAAUUUGAAGGAAUGUGGAUUUUUUUUAAAUUUUUUUUAUUUAUUUAUUUAUUUAUUUUUUGACAGGCAGAGUGGACAGUGAGAGACAAAGACAGAGAGAAAGGUCUUCCUUUGCCGUUGGUUCACCCUCCAAUGGCCGCCGCGGCCGGCGCGCUGCGGCCGGCACACCGCGCUGAUCCGAUGGCAGGAGCCAGGAGCCAGGUGCUUCUCCUGGUCUCCCAUGGGGUGCAGGGCCCAAGCACUUGGGCCAUCCUCCACUGCACUCCCUGGCCACAGCAGAGGGCUGGCCUGGAAGAGGGGCAACCGGGACAGAAUCCAGCGCCCCGACCAGGACUAGAACCUGGUGUGCCGGUGCCGCUAGGCAGAGGAUUAGCCUAGUGAGCCGCGGCGCCGGCCGGAAUGUGGGUUUUAUUUUGUUGACAGUGCUGUUAUUGAAACUUUUGAGGGGCCGGCACUGUGGCACAGCGGGUUAAAGCCCCAGCCUGCAGCGCCAGCAUCCCAUAUGGGCGCUGGUUUGAGACCCGGCUGCUCCUCUUCCCAUCCAGCUCUCUGCUGUGGCCUGGGAAAGUAGUCGAAGAGGAUCCAACUCCUUGGGCCCCUACUCCCACGUGGGAGACCAGGAGGAAGCACCUGGCUCCUGGCUUCGGAUCAGUGUAGCAUGCCGGCCGUUGGAAUGAACCAAUGGAAGGAAGACCUUUCUGUCUGUCUCUCUCUCUCUCACUGUCUAACUCUGCCUGUCAAAAAAAAUCAGCAACAUCUAUUAUCAUUAUAAUAAAGUGAAAAGUCACAAAAUAUAUAAAAUACUCUUGAAGGUUCAAAGAACAUAUUGAUAAUAAUGCCAUAGGAGGGAAAUGGGAAAUUUAAUUCUUAAAAUGUAAAUAGAUCAAAGCCGGCGCCGUGGCUCAAUAGGCUAAUCCUCCACCUUGCGGCGCCGGCACACCGGGUUCUAGUCCCGGUUGGGGCGCCGGAUUCUGUCCCGGUUGCCCCUCUUCCAGGCCAGCUCUCUGCUAUGGCCAGGGAGUGCAGUGGAGGAUGGCCCAGGUGCUUGGGCCCUGCACCCCAUGGGAGACCAGGAAAAGCACCUGGCUCCUGGCUCCUGCCAGGAUCAGCGCGGUGCGCCGGCUGCAGCGGCGGCCAUUGGAGAGUGAACCAGCGGCAAAGGAAGACCUUUCUCUCUCUGUCUCUCUCUCUCACUGUCCACUCUGCCUGUCAAAAAAAAAAAAAAAAAAAAUGUAAAUAGAUCUAGAUGAGAAAACAUUGAUAACAUCUUGAAGCAUUUUUACCUUGCAGAACUUUAGCCUGCUUAUGAGAAGAGGAUUAGUAUCUUAGAAACAAUUUUAGAGGCUGUCGCCUCUGUCAGUUCAUUAGGGUAUCAUACAGUGUUCUGAGACAAGGACAGGUAAUUCUGUAAAGGGAGCAGUUACCUGAUGUUAUUUAUGAUUUGUGAGAACUUUAUUUUUUCCUUAUUCCAUUACUUAAAAAUUGUAAGCAUUUUUAUACAGAAAAUGUAUAUAUAUGGGGACUAGAAUUCUAUAAAUUACUUCAAAUCUGGUUUUGGUGUGUCUUAGAAUUUAAAUUUUUUAGACUUUAUUUUUUAUUGUGAGAGAAAGAGAGUGUGAGCACUCCCAUCCACUGAUUCACUGAAAUUCUCACUGAGUGGGCCAGGCUGGGCCUGUCCAAAGCUGGAAACCAGGGUCUCCCCCCUGAUCUCCACGUGCGUGGCAGGGACCCAGCUACUUGAUUGCUCUCCCAGGGUGCACAUCAGCAGGAAAGUACAAUCAGGAGCAGAGCCAGAACUCUAACCUAAGUACUUGGAUAUGGGAUGUGGAUGUCUCAAAUAGCAUUUUCACUGCUAGGCAAAAUACUUGUCCCAUGUGUUAGAACUUUUGAUGUAUUCAUUAUUUUAUCCCAGCUGUUUGGAUGUGAUAAUGAUUAUUUAUUUCUAGAUGAUCUACCACGUCCCCAUUUGACAUAGAUAUUUUGGGAGAGUGGUUGUUUUGGUCUGCCUUAUCUUGGAACAGAACAUAAGAGUAAAACUUUGGGAACAGUUUCUUAGUAUAUCAUCUGACUGCUUGGGAUUUCUUGGUGCGAGGAACCUAUCUUAACUGGUUAUGUUUUUGUAUGUGUUUGUAUGAUACUUGUAUGUUUAAAAAGAACAUAUAGGGGCAGGUGUUGUGGCUUAGCGGGUAAAACAACCACCACUGCAAUGCUGCCAGCAUCCAAUGGGCCCCAGUUCAUGUCUUGUCUGCUCCACUUUUUAUUUUUUAAACAGGCAGAGUUAGAGAGAGAGAGAGAGAGAGAGAGAGAGAGAGGAGAGAGAGAGAGGUCUUCCUUCCAUUGGUUCACCUCCCAAAUGGCUACUACGAAGCCAGGAGCCAGGAGCCACAUGCUUCCUCCUGGUCUCCUGUGCGGGUGCAGGGCCUAAGCACUUGAGCCAUCCUCCACUGCCUUCCUGGGCCACAGCAGAGAGAUGAACUGGAAGAGGAGCAACCAGACAGAAUCGGGUGCCCCAACCGGGACUAGAUCCCGGGAUGCCAGCACUGCAGGCGGAGGAUUAGCCAAGUGAGCCGCGGCGCCGGCCUGCUCCACUUCUGAUCCAGCUCUCUACUAAUGGCCUGGGAAAAGUAGAGGAAAGUGGCCCAAAUGGGCCCCUGCAACCCACAUGAGACUCAGAUGAAGAUCCUGGCUCCUGGCCAUUGGUCUGGGGCGUGAACCAGUGGAUGAAAGAGAUUUCUUUCUCUUUCUGUCUCUCUGUAACUCUGAUUUUCAAAUAAAUAAAUCUUUUGGGAAAAAAUAUACUUUUAUAUACAGAGGGCACAUUCCAGAAAACAUGUACACUUGUUAAGAGGAUAAAACAAGAUUGAUCUAGCAGACUUUUCAUUGAAGCUCUUAUUUCUCCUAAUGGUACUAUAAGGGUAUUUGCUUGCAUCAAAGAUAAGUUAGGUGUUAGAGAAACUAAACCUUUAUUGUAGGUUUGAAAUUAACCUAUAACUAUAACCAAAUUAAUAGUACAGUUUGGGUUUGGGUCUAUAAUACUAGAAAAUGGAGUGAAAAUCUCCUCUUAGACUUGGUUUACUGUUUAUUUUUAUUUAUUUAUAUAUUUAUUUAUUUUUACAGGCAGAGUGGACAGUGAGAGAGAGAGAGAAAGGUCUUCCUUUUGCCGGUGGUUCACUCCCUAAGUGGCCGCUAUGGCUAAUGUGUUGCGGCCAGCACACCGCACCUAUCCAAAGGCAGGUGCUUCUCCUGGUCUCCCAUGCGGGUGCAGGGCCCAAGCACUCCACUGCACUCCCGGGCCACAGCAGAGAGCUGGCCUGGAAGAGGGGCAACCAGGACAGAAUCUGGCGCCCCGACCGGGACUAGAACCCGGUGUGCCGGCACUGCAAGGCGGAGGAUUAGCCUAGUGAGCCGCGGCGCCGGCGGUUUACUGUUUAAAUGAAAGGUAUUAGCAUGCCUCAAUAUGAAAAUACCUUACAGUAAAGGUAUUUUAAAGUAAUAAAGUGUACUAAUUACAAGCCCACGGCUAAUACGAUGUGUAACAGUGAAAGAUGAGUGCUUCCUCCUAAGAUCAAGAAUAAGACAUGGAUUCCACAUCAAGACUGUACUGGAGAUUCUAUCCAGGGCAGUUAGGCAAGGAAAGCAAAUAAAAGGUAUCCAGAUUGGAAAAAAUAAAGCCAUUUCUAUUUGCAGAUACCAAUCUUAUAUAUAGAAAAACUAUUAUAAAGUAAAACCUAAUAAAACUCAAACACGAAUUUAUCAGAGUUACAAGAUACAAGAUGGAGAGACAGAAUCCAAAUGUUUCUGUACAGCAGCAAUAAUCAACGUGAGCAUGGAUUUAAAAAAACAAUUUGUCUGCAGUUAUAUCCGAAAGAAUAAAAUACCUAGCAAUAAAUUUAACCAAGACGACAAAAGAUUUGUAAACUGAGAACUAUAAAAUACUGUUAAAUUAAAAAGACCUCAGUAGAUGGAAAGACUAUGUUCAUGGAUUGCAGCAUUUAAUAUUAUAAAGAUGGCAGAAUCACCCAUAUUGUUCUACAGAUUCAGUGCAAGCCCUAUCAAAGUUCCAGGUACAUUUCUGUCAGAAGUUAAUUCAGAAGUUCAUGUGGAAGUGCAAGGUAACCAGAAUAGCCAGAACAAUCAUGAAAAGAAUAACGUUGGAGGAUCUGUACUUCUUACCAAGCUGCAGUUACCAGGACAGUAGGAGUAGGUACUGGCCUAGGAGCAGACUUAGAGCUCAGUGGAACAGAGCUAAGAAUCCAGAAAUAUUCCUUUUAUUUAUGGUUAGCUAAUUUUUGAUAAGGGUCCCAAGACAAUUCAGGGUCUUUUCAACAAAUAGUGCUAAUAAAAUUGAAUAUCUACAUAGAAGAAUGAAGUUGGAUCCCUACCUUAUACCAUACACAAAAGGAAUCAUGAAACUGAAUUUAAGAGCCAAAAAAUUAUAAAAUUCUUAGAAGAUAUGAGAGCAAAUUUUUGUGACUUUGAGUUAGGCAGUGAUUUCUUAUAUAUAGCAGAAGCAUGACUAAAAAAGAAAAAAUAGAUGCAUUAGGUUUUUGUUUUUUUUUUUUUUAAAGAAGGUUUAUUUAUUUGAAAGGCAGAGUUACAGAGAGCGAGAGGUCUUCCACCCACUGCUUCAUUCCCAAAAUGUCUGAAAUGGCUGCAGCUGAGCCAGUCGGGAGCCAGGAGCUUCCUCUCAGUCUCCCAUGUGGCCUGCCUCCCAGAUCAUAGCCAGGAGCUCGAUCAGAAGUGGAGCAGCCAGGACUCAAACCAGUGCCCAUAUGGGAUCCAGCACUGCAAGUGGUGGCUUUACCUGCCUCGCCACAGUGCUAACCCCAAUGUGUUAGGCUUUAUCAAAAUUAAAAAUAUUCACGUUUCAAAAAACAUCAUCAAGAAAGUGAAAAGACACCUCAAGGGGCAGCGUUGUGGAAUAGCAUGUUGAGCCACCGCCUGCAGUGCCAGCCUCCCAUAUGGGUGCUGGUUCGAGUCCCAGCUGCUUCACUUCUGAUUCAGCUCCCUGAUAAUGUGCCUGGGGAAGCAGUAGAGGAUGGCCCAUGUACUUGGGCCCCCGCACCCUCUUGGGAGACCAGGAAGAAGCUCCUGGCUUUGGUUUGGCCCAGCCCCCGCAUUGCAGCCGUUUGGGGAGUGAACCAGCAGACAGAAGAACUCUUCCCUUCCCUCUCUUUGUCUCUGUCUCUCACUCUCUAACUCUGCCUAUCAAAUAAGUAAAAAUUUUUAAAAGAAGAAAUAUGAAAAAAAGGCUGCAGAAUGGAAGAAAACAUUUGCAAAAACAUACCUAAUAAGAGAGCUAAAUUCAAAAUAUACAAAAAAUUCUUUUUUUCCCCACUUAUUUUUUCUUUUCUUUUUUUAAAAAAAGAUUAAAAAAAAAGAUUUAUAUAUUUAUUUGAAAGCCAGAGUUACACAGAGAGAGAUCUCUCUAUCUUCCAUCCACUGGUUUACUCCCAAAAUGGCUGCAAUGGCCAGGGCUAGGCUAGGCUGAAACUGGGAGCCAAGAACACUUUAUGGGUCUCCCACAUGGGAGCAGGGGCCCAAGUACUUGGACCAUCUCCCACUGCUUUCAGCAGGAAGCUGGAUGGGAAGUGGAGCAGCUAGGACACAAACCGUUGCCUACGUGGGGUACAGGCGCUGCAGAGGGUGGCUUAACCUGUUGGACCACAGCAGCAUCCCCUAUAAAGGAAUUCUUACAACUAAACAAUGAAAACAAAUCAGUCAAUCUAAAAAUGGGCAAAGAAUCUGAAUAGGUGAGUACUCAAAGAAAAUACACAAAUGUCCAAAAAGCACAUGAAAAGCCUCAACAUCAGUAGUCACUAUGAAAAUGCAAAUCACAGGGAGUUACUACAUCACAUCCACUAUGAUGGCAAAGUAGGGUUGCUUACCAACUUUGUAGUUACCCAUUCAUCAUGCCAGUUACCACUGAUGGAGGAAAGGUCCUAAAAAGACUACUGACCAUAUAACUUAGCAUUUAAGACUACCGAUGGGGCCAGCGCUGUGGUGUAGUGGGUAAAGCCACCACCUGUAGUGCCGGCAUCCCAUACAGUGCCAGUUCAAGUCCCAGCUGCUCCACUUCCUAUCCAGCUCUCUGCUAUGGCCUGGGAAAGCAGGAGAAGAUGGCCCAAGUCCUUGGACCCCUGCAUCCGCGUGGGAGACCCGGAAGAAGCUCCUGGCUCCUGGCUUCAUAUCAGCGCAGCUCCCACCAUUGUGGCCAAUUGGGGAAUGAACCAUCAGAUGGAAGACCUCUCUCUCUCUCUCUCUCUCUCUCUCUCUCUCUCUCUCUCUCUCUCUUUACCUCUCCUCUCUGUGUAACUCUUUCAAAUAAAUAAAUUAAUUUUAAAAAAAGACUUACUGAUGUCAUCAUUAGCUGAUGAUACUGCACAAAUGAGUUAUCACUUUACAAUUACUGAAGACAUGUAACUAACCACAGAUAAGUUUCUAAUUUAUAUGGUGCCAAAAAUGAAUGCUGUGGCACAGCAGGUAAAGCCGCCGCCUGCAGUGCCAGCAUCCCAUAUGGUUGCUGGCUCAUGUCCCAGCUGCUCCACUUCCCAUUCAGCUCUCUGCUAUGGCCUGGGAAAGCAGUGGAAGAUGGAGCAAAUCCUUGGGCUCCUGCACCCACGUGGGAGACCUGGAGAAAGCUCCUGACUCCUGGCUUCGGAUCGGCCCAGCUCCAGCCAUUGCGGCCAUCUGGGGAGUGAACCAGUGGAUGGAAGACCUCUCUCUUUCUCUUUCUGCCUCUUCUCUCUCUGUAACUCUUUCAAAUAAAAUUAAAUAAAUAAAACUGAAUGGAGUGUAAAUAUUCAAUAGUGAGGAAAGAUUAGCCAUCUAUUUAUAUAAAUAAGAUAGUAAAUUCAAAAGUAUAUUUAAAGGUUUUUAAGAACUUCUAAUUAGCAGUGCAACUUAACGAAAUUAAGGCCAGAUAUUGGAGCUGGUGCUAUAGUGCAGUGAGUUAAACUGUUGCCUGUAGUGCCAGCAUCCCAUAUGGUCACUGGGUCAGGCCAGCUGUGCCACUUCCAGUCCAGCUCCCUGCUAAUGUGCCUGGGAAAGCAAUGAAGGAUGCCCAAGUCGUGUGAGAGACCCAGAUGAAGCUCCUGGCUCUUGCCUUCGGAAUGGCCCAGCCCUGGCUGUUGUGGCAGUCCAGAGAGUGAACCAGCAGAUGAAAGAUUUUCUCCCUGGCCCCAUAACUCUGCCUUUCAAAUAAAUACAUCGUUUUUUAAAUGGCCAAAUAUUGAUAGAAUGUAGUAAUUUUAUCAGUUUCACUUAAGGUUUAAUAAAGUAUAACAAUUUAUUAUGCUUUUAACAACAAAAUUAGAAAGUACAGUUGUUGAAGAAAGUAGAAACAGUAUUGUCCAGUGCUUCUAGGACAGUGUCAGUACUGCUGCUUAGGCAAAUGAAGAUGAUGGUUACUUCCCUUUUGUAAUCUAAAGGUGGAAAACUAACACCCUUAUUUUUAAUUCAUGUAAAAGUCUGAAAGAAGAUAAUUAUAUUCUUUGUACUUUUUUAGACAGUAGGAGUCCAGUUACAAUACUGAGUUAUGCGGGGUAACUGUAGACACUAAAACAGUAAUAUGUCUUGGAAAGGAGGGGUACACUCAUUUGUACACUCAGUUAAAGAUAUAAAUUAACAUCAAGCAAUACGAAGACAUUCAAACAUAAUUGGUGUAUUUAUUUUUGUAUAGAAGUGGAUGAAUAUUUUACUAUAUUUUAUUGGGGAGGAAUGCUGAAAAUUGUAGACCAACUAAAAAUAACUGUCAGAGUUCAGAUAGGCAUCUGUUAGAAUUGAAUGUUAUGUGAGGGAUGAAGUGAUGGGCAGGUUUUGGAGAUAAAAUUUAUGGUUAAUAGAGGAAGUAUAGCUAGGAUAAAAUUACGCACCUAAAAUGCAGUCUAUGCAAUGAUGUCAUUGCAGUUGUGUCUAGAUAGAUUCACAGUUUCUAUAUUGACCUUUGUCAGAAAUAGCUCAUUAAGACUAAGCUUUCUACUCCCUGAUCCAGGCUGCAUAUAUGGCAAAGUGACAGAGGCUGACUCAGAAGCAAGGAUUGCAUUCUAGAAACUAAGUGUUCUUAGUACUUCAGCUGUCCAAUUCCCGAAGUUUAAAGCAAUUCUACAACUGAUGCAUGGGAAGAGAUGAGGUUAUGAGGUCUUAAAAUUCUAAAAUGAUGUCUAGGAGUCAUCAGACAUUGAAUAACUGACAUAGUGAAUAUUAUAAUAAACAUAGUAGCUUUUUAUCCAAGUGAUUGCUGAAUAUCAUUCUCAGUGAAGAAUGAAUGUAGGGGCCGGCACUGUGGCGCAGCAGGUUAACACCCUGGCCUGAAGUGCCGGCAUCCCAUAUGGGUGCUGGUCUAGACCUGGCUGCUCCUCUUCCAAUCCAGCUCUCUGCUAUGGCCUGGGAUAGUAGUCUAAGAUGGCUCAAGUCCUUGGGCACCUGCACCCCGUGGGAGACCUGGAAGAAGCUCCUGGCUUCAGAUUGUGCAGCUCUGGCUGUUGCAGUCAUCUGGGGAGUGAACCAGCGGAUGGAAGACCUCCCUCUCUCUCUCUGCCUCUCCUCUCUCUGAGUAACUCUGACUUUCAAAUAAAUAAAUAAACAGAUCUUUAAAAAAAAGAAUGAAUGAAUGUAAAUUCACUGAAUUCAUUAUCGGUGAAUGAAAUUAACCUGUUUAAGAAAAUAUUUCCUCUAAAAUUACAAAACUAAAUUACAAAUUUUUGAAAAAGGAAGAGUUUAAUAUAUUUUCCUGAAAUAUUUUAGGUGAUGUCAUGUAAAAGCAUUUGUUUUAUGUGCAACUUUGAUGAAUGUUUGAUCCAUAAAACUGUAUCUUCAGUACUGAAGCUCAUAAUUAUACAGCAGAAUUCUAGAUUUUAGGGCAAUAUGCUAAUUUACUAAAUCUGUUUGCUGUAUAUAGUAAGAAAUUAAUACAGUGAAAAUAGUGUGUUAAAUAUUGGAAUAAUAGUAACCACAGUUCAAAGACCUUUUCUUAAACUAGUCUCUUCUGCAUUUAAAUAAAUUUCUGUUCUGAUACAAAUGUUGGCCAUUGAAGUGUGCCAAGAGGUACAUCAGUAAGAAGUCCACUUUUUUAGAUGAGCAACUUCGUGUCUUGCAUUUAUCUUUUACAUGUUUUAAAAUUAAUUUUUAUUUCAUUCGAAAGGCAGAAAGACACAGAGCUUAUACAUGAUGGUUCACUCCCCAAAUGCCCCCAACAGCCAGGGCUGACCCAGGCAGAAGCUGGGAACUCAGAGCUCAGUCCAAGUCUCCCACGUGCUUGGUCUGUCUUGUGCUCCUUUCCCAGGUGCAUUAGGGAGCUGGGUUGGAAGUGGAGCAGCCAGGACACGAACUGGCACUCCAGUAAAGGAUGCAGGUGUCCCAGGCGGGGAUAUAACCACCGCAUCACAUGUCAGCCCCUUGAAAUUAUCUUUAUUUCCCUACAAUUUGUUUAUUUGAAAGGCAGAGUGACCAUGGCAGAGAAAGAGAUCUUCUUUGCUGGGUUCACUCCCCAAAUGGCCGCUGUGGGUGGCCUGAGCUAGGAUAGGCUGAAGCCAGGAACUGGAAACCCGUCCAGGUCUCCCAAGUACAUAGGCCAUCUUCUACUGUUUUCCCAAAGGCAUAUUGGCAGCGAGCUGAAUCAGAAGUGGAGCAGCUGGGACUUGAACCACACUGUGAUCUGGGAUGCUGAAGUUACAAGGGGCAGCUUAACCUGUUUUACCACGAUACUGAUCCUGCAUCAUUUAUCUUUUUAAAAGUGAAAAAGUUGAUAGUCUUUUGACAUGUUAUAGCUGUUUUUGUGGGAAGAGAAUAAUUAAUUUGUACUUGCUUAUCUUUUUCUACUUAAUCUAGUGAAUAAUGUCAGUUGAUAGUCCCAGGAGUAUUGUUUGUGAAAAACCUCAGAUCUAAGUAAGGAUUCAGGCCGGCGCUGCGGCUCAAUAGGCUAAUCCUCCACCUGCGGCGCCGGCACACCGGGUUCUAGUCCUGGUUGGGGUGCCGGAUUCUGCCCCGGUUGCCCCUCUUCCAGGCCAGCUCUUUGCUGUGGCCCGGGAGUGCACUGGAGAUUAGAGCUGUACUGACUGGUCUACUGCAGAUUUGUGUGGUUUUUAAUUGCUACCUCAUAUGGAUUGAGCAUUCUCACUUCUUAUUGUUGUCUCCCUAUUGCAGUUUUGUUUUUUAUUUUUUUAGUGACUUUUAUCAAUUUUUUUUACCCUGCCAACAGUGUGGGGCAGAAGCACAAAGUCAGGGGUCACCAAAAGUUACAUUAUAGCUAUGGAUAGGGCUUUUAGUUCUGUAAGUAGGCAAUAAGAUUGAUUUUUUAAAAACAGAUUUAUUUUUUAUUUAUUUGAAAGGCAGAGUUACAGAGAGGGAAGGAGAGAGAGAGAGAGAGAGAAAGCAAGCAAGCAAGCUUCCAUCCACUGGUUCACUCCACAACUAGCCCCCGGUGACCAGGGCUGGGCCAGGCUGAAGCUAGGAGCCCAGAGCUUCUUACCGGUCUCCCAUGUCAAUGCAAGGGGCUCAUGCACUUGAGCCAAAUUCCACUGUUUUCCCAGAUGCAUUAGCAGGGAGCUGGAUUGGAAAUGUAGCAGCUGGGACUCAAACCAGUGCCAGUAGGGGGUGCCAGCGUUAACAGGUGGAGGCUUAACCUCUGCACAAUGCCAGCCCCCGAUUGACUGAUUUUUAAGAUUUCUUCGUGGCGUUGCGGGUAAAGCUGCCGCCGACAGUGCCAACAUCCAUAUGGGCGCUGGUUCGAGUCGCAGCUGCUCCACUUCCGGUCCAGCUCUCUGCUAUGGCCUAGGAAAACAGUAGAAGAUGGCCCAACUCCUUGGGCCCCUACACCUGCGUGGGAGACCUGGAAAAGGCUCCUGGCUCCUGGCUUUGGAUCGGCACAGCCAUCUGGGGAGUGAACCAGCAGGUGGAAGAUGUCUCUCACUCUCUGCCUCUCCUCCUUUCUCUGUGUAACUCUGACUUUCAAGUAAAAAAAAAAAUAUUAAAAAAAAAAAAAACUUGCCAGUGCUGGCUCUUUAAAGCAAACAAACAAAAGAUUUCUUCUACUUAAAAAAAAAAAAAAUCCCAAGCUUUCAAGUACCAAAUCCCACUUUUUACUCUCUGAUCUAGCUUUUAAAUUGAUGGGAAGGACUCGUACCUCCUAUCUCCUGCUCUAAAGAUACCAGUAUGUUAUUGUAACUCUUAAUUUCUUUGUUUUUUUUUUUUUUUAAUAUUUAUUUGAAAGUCAGAGUUAUACAGAGAGAGUAGAGGCAGGGAAAGAGAGAGAGAGGUCCUUCAUCCAAUGGUACUCCCCAGUUGGCCGCAAGUGCUGGGGCUGCGUCAAUCUGAAGCCAGGAGCCAGGAGCCUCUUCCGGGUCUCCCACGUGGGUGCAGGGGCCCAAGGACUUGGGCCAUCUUCCACUGCUUUCCCAGGCCAUAGCAGAGAGCUGGAUCAGAAGUGGAACAGCCGGGUCUCCAACCGGUGCCCAAAUGGGAUGCAGGCGCUUCAGGCCAAGGCGUUAACCCGCUGCGCCCCAGCGCCGGCCCCUUAAUUUCUUACUUUACUGAAAAUGUGCAUUUCUAGUUUGAGCUUGUUUUUCUUCCCCUAUAUUUUCUAUCUUUAAACCUUUGACUCAGAUUCAGUGACUAUACUGUGUCCCCUUUUGAACUUCUAGUCAUGCACAGAAAGACAUGACCAAGAAUAACCAGUGUUAUAAAAGCCAAAAAUUAGAAGAAAUCUGAAUUUUUGUCAAUAAGAGAAUAGUUAAAUAAAUGACACAUUGUACCUUGUAGCAGAUAAAAAGAAUAGUGUAAGUUUGUGUAUAUAUUCAUGGAGAGAAUUCCAAGACAUGUUAAAUUUAAAAAGCAAAUUACAAAAUAAUGUUUUCAGGAUGAUCUCAUUUGUGUUCAAAAUAACAGAUUGUAUAUUUCCAUGUGUACAAAGUUGUGUAUGUAAAUGCAUUGAGAAAGGUCAAAAAAGAUGUGUCAGACUGAUAAUUUGGGAGAAAAGAGAUUCAAAGGCAAACUAUGAUGUUGAUUUUAUUUUUAAAAUUUUUGUAGCAAGAAAAUAUAGCUUAUGGAUUUAUUAAAUAUUUUUAAAAGAUAGUAAGUGAGGAGCUGGUGAUGUGGCGUAGUAGGCUAAGCCUCUGCCUGCAGCGCCGGCAUCCCAUAUGGGUACCAGUUUGAGUCCUAGCUGCUCCACUUCCCAAUCCAUCCCUCUGCUAUGGCCUGGGAAAGCAGUAGAAGAAGGCCCAUGUGCUUAGGCCCCUGCACCCACGUGGGAGACCUGGAGGAUGCUCCUGGUUCCUGGCUUGGGGUUGGCUCAGUUCCAGCUGUUGUGGCCAUUUGGGGAGUGAACCAGCAGAUAGAAGACCUUUGUCUCUCCCUCUCUCUGUAACUCUGCCUCUCAAAUAAAUAAAUCUUUUUUUUUUUUGACAGGCAGAGUGGACAGUGAGAGAGAGAGAGAGAGACAGAGAGAAAGGUCUUCCUUUGCCGUUGGUUCACCCUCCAAUGGCCGCUGUGGCCAGCGCACCGCACUAAUCCGAAGGCAGGAGCCAGGUGCUUCUCCUGGUCUCCCAUGGGGUGCAGGGCCCAAGCACUUGGGCCAUCCUCCACUGCACUCCCAGGCCACAGCAGAGAGCUGGCCUGGAAGGGGGGCAACCGGGACAGAAUCCGGCGCCCCGACCGGGACUAGAACCCGGUGUGCCGGCGCCGCUAGACGGAGGAUUAGCCUGUUGAGCCGCGGCGCUGGCCCCAAUAAAUAAAUCUUAAAACAAAAAAAUAGGGGCUGGCGCAGUGGCACAGCAGGUUAACACUCUGGCCUGAGGCACCAGCAUCCCACAUGGGCACUUGUUCUAGUUCCGGCUGCUCCUCUUCCAAUCCAGCUUUCUGCUAUGGCCUAGGAAAGCAGUAGAAGAUGGCCCAAGUCCUUGAGACCCUGCACUCAUGUGGGAGACCCAGAGGAAGCUCUUGGCUCCUGGCUUCGGAUUGGCACAGCUCCGGCCGUUACAGCCAGUUGGGGAGUGAACCAUCAGAUGGAAGACCUCUCUCUCUCUCUCUCUCUCUCUGCCUCUCCUCUCUCUGUGAAACGCUUUCAAAUAAAUAAAUAAAUAAAUAAGGCUUUUAAAACUAAAUAAACUUUUUUUUAAAAAAAUGGCAUUAGAACAUCAAAUAAUCUAGUACUCAAAGCUAAGUCCUUCUGUGUUACGUGCUCCACAGAACUGGUAAUAACAAAGCUGGAACAAGAACUUUAGGUUUUCUAAUUUCCAGACUAGAGCUUUUUUACAACACCUUCAAGGCAUAGUUAAAAUAUGUAUUUUUCAUAAAGCCUUUUCUAAUUAUCCAAAGUGAUUUCUCCUUUAAAUUCCUGAGACUCACUGUGUCACUUACAUGACUUUUUACUGACACUAUACUGUGGUUUCUCUCCUUUCUGGAUCAUUUAUAUCCUUUCUAGAUCCUGCACAUUACUUGAAGACAGAGACUGUAACUGUUAAUCCUUGUAUCUGACAGCCAUGUAACAGUUACUCAGUUAGCAAGGAACAUUUCGAUGUAGGCCAUAUUUGCGCCUUUUGUAGAUGAAGACAGAAAAGCUGAAUGCCCAUACAAAUAAAUAGCUGUACUUUUUUUUUUCUCCCAUGAAACCUGUUGCUUGAUAGAAAAUACUUUAGGAUGGCACAUAGUGAGAUAUUUGCUACCUUGAAAAUAUCUUUGCUUUCCAAAGAAACUAGUUUUGUUCUCCAUUCCUGCUCCAGAGAGAACAGUUUGUUCCCAUAGGAUUUUCUAGGUAAUAUGACCCACUUAGGAAAUACGGGGUGACUGUGCUACAUAACGGAACCUCUGCUGGAGUUGUACCAAGGGAAGAAGCCUCUUGAGUGUAUGGUUUACAAGUAAAGGUACAUUCUUUUCUGUAUUUGAAUUGGUACAGCAGAACAGGAAACUCCAUUGUCACUUAAAAUUUUACUAUAAAUACCAUAGAAACUACGACAAGAUAUUUUUUGUGAUUAUAAAAAUUUUCUUCAAAAUAUUUGGACUUUAUGUAGAACACCUUUGAUGUGUUCUCACCUGUUCCUUCUAUGUAGUGGUAUUAUCUGAUAUUAACAUCUUAUUAAAUUUGCACCGGCAUCUGGAGUAGACUCCUCUGUGACUUUCAUCUGCAGUUUGUUAAUCCUAUUUUGCUUUUCAUUUUUUGUAACUUGGUUUAUUCUAAUAGCUAUUUAAUUUGUAAUCAUUAAAAAGCUUGUGGAAUUUUUUAAACAAAUAGUCUUUCUUUUUUUUUUUUUUUUUUUUUAAUAGGCAGAGUGGACAGUGAGAGAGAGAGACAGAGAGAAAGGUCUUCCUUUUCCGUGGGUUCACCCCACAAUGGCCGCCGCAGCCAGUGCGCUGCAGCCGGUGCACUGCACUGAUCCGAAGGCAGGAGCCAGGUGCUUCUCCUGGUCUCCCAUGGGGUGCAGGGCCCAAGCACUUGGGCCAUCCUCCACUGCCUUCCCCGGCCAUAGCAGAGAGCUGGCCUGGAAGAGGGGCAACCGGGACAGAAUCCGGCGCCCCGACUGGGACUAGAACCUGCUGUGCCAGCGCCGCUAGGUGGAGGAUUAGCCUAUUGAGCUGCGGCACUGGCCUAGUCUUUUUUUUAAAGAUUUGUUUUAUUUAUUUGAAAGACAGAGUUACAGAGAGAGAUAAAGACAGAGAGGUCUUCCAUCCGCUGAUUCACUCACCAGAUGGCCGCAACGGCAGGAGCUGCACCAAUCCGAAGCCAGGAGCCAGGAGCUUCUUCUGGGUCUCCCACUAGGUGCAGGGGCCCAAGGACUUGGGUCAUCUCCUACUGCUUUCCCAGGCCGUGACAGAGAGCUAUAUUGGAAGAGGAGCAGCCAGGACCAGAACCGGCGCCCAUAUGGGCUGGCGGUGCUUCAGGCCAGGGCGUUAACCCGCUGCGCCACAGCGCCGGCCCUAAACAAAUAGUCUUUCCUGGAAGUUUCCAUGAUCAGCUGGAACAAUGUUCUUGGAUUGGGCCUUGGAAGACUUACUCUUUUUUGGAAAGCUAAUGUCUCUUAGUUUAGAAUUUAAUGGCUUUAAGAAAACAUAGGGGGCUGGCACUGUGGUCGAGCAGGUAAAGCUGCCGCCUGCAGUGCCUGCAUCCCAUAUGGGUGCCAGUUUGAGUCCUGGCUGCUCCACUUUUGAUCCAGCUCUCUGCUAUGGCCUGGGAAAGCAGUAGAAGAUGGUCCAGGUCCUAGGGCCCCUGCACCCACGCUGGAGACCUGAAAGAAGCUCCAGGUUCCUGGCUUUGGAUUGGCCCAGCUCCAGCUGUUGCAGCCAUUUGAGGAGUAAACCAGUGGAUGGAAGACCAAAUCAAAAGUAAAAGUCUUCCCUGUUUAAACAAAGGAAAACACAAGAUGCUGUGAAUUUCCAUAAAUGCUGUUUAGAGACUGUUAUUGAGCCGGCCAGUUGGUCCUUAUGUGUAUUCGUCUGGAGUCAUUCUUACGUUAUGGGCAUUGGCCUAGUGGUUAAAGUGUCUGAACCCUGUAUCAGAGUACCAGAGUUUGGGUCUUGGUUUUGGCUCCCAGUUGCAGCUUCCAACUUACCCAGUCCUUGGAGGCAGCAGGUGAUGGCUCAAGUAGCUUGGUCCUUGUCCCCCAUGUGGGAGAACUAGCCACUGAGUUCCCAAUUCCUGGCUUCUGCCUGGCCUAACCUUGGCCAUUGUAGGCAUUCAAGAAGUGAACCACCACAUCUGUCUGUCCAUCUGUCUCUUUUGCUCUGUGCCUCUUAAUAAUAAAAAAAAUGUGAGUUUAAGGUAUAAGUGUAUAAUAUAUACAUAUAUUUGACAGUACUUCGUAAAAUUCAUAGAAAAUGGAAUUAAAAGUUAUUUUGUUUUGGUGUAACAAAUUUUUAAAGCCCAUGCACAUUAUUUUUCUAAAACAUGGUUUUCACAGAAUUUUUGAAGACCUUUUGUAUGCAUGGAUUUUUUUUAAGAUUUAUUUAUUUAUUUGAGAGUCAGAGUUACAGAGAAAGAGUAGGAGAGACAGAGAGAGAGAGAAUGUGUCUUCCAUCGGCUGGUUCACUCCACAAUUGGCCGCAAUGACUGCAUCUGCACUGAUCCAAAGCCAGGAGCCAGGAGUUUCUUCCCGGUCUCCCACAUGUGUGCAGGGCCCUAAGGACUUGGGCCAUCCUCCACUGCUUUCCCAGGCCAUAGCAGAGAGCUGGAUCACAAGUGGAGCAGCUGGGACUCAAACUGGCACCCAUAUGGGAUGCCGGCACUGCAGGCGAUAGCUUUUAGCCGCUACAUCACAGCACAGGCCCCAUAUGCAUGAAUUUCAAAAAAAAUUUUUAAUAGCACAUUUUUUAAUUCCAUUUUCUAUGAACUUUUGGAAGUACUCUCAUACAUCUUUACUUUUUUUUUUUUUUUUUUUUUGACAGGCAGAGUUAGACAGUGAGAGAGAGGGCCGGCGCUGUGGCUUACUUGUCUAACCCUCUGCCUGCAGCACCGGCACUCCAGGUUCUAGACCCAGUUGAGGGGUGAAGACCUUUCUCUCUGUCUCUCUUCCUCUCUCUACCUCUGCCUGUCAAAAAAAAAAAAAGAGAAAGGUUCCCCCCA